rnacentral:rRNA from 2 species
UACGUAGGGGGCAAGCGUUAUCCGGAAUCACUGGGCGUAAAGGGUGCGUAGGCGGCCGAUAAAGUCUGGGGUGAAAGGCUACGGCUUAACCGUAGUAAGCCUUGGAAACUUAUUGGCUUGAGUGCAGGAGAGGUAAGUGGAAUUCCUAGUGUAGCGGUGAAAUGCGUAGAUAUUAGGAGGAACACCAGUGGCGAAGGCGACUUACUGGACUGUAACUGACGCUGAGGCACGAAAGCGUGGGGAGCGAACA